CAUGCCCCUUGAGGCAUUGCAGUCCGACAUUGUGUUGAGGCUGUGUCAUAAGGUGGCAGAGAAUAAAAAGAUCUACAUC